AACAAGGUUUCCGUAGGUGAACCUGCGGAAGGAUCAUAGUA
rnacentral:rRNA from 1 species